UACGUAGGGUCCAAGCGUUAUCCGGAAUUACUGGGCGUAAAGCGUGUGUAGGCGGAUGUUUAAGUCCGUUGUGAAAUCCCUGGGCUCAACCUGGGAAUGGCAGUGGAUACUGGAAAGCUAGAGUGCGGUAGAGGGUAGUGGAAUUCCCGGUGUAGCAGUGAAAUGCGUAGAGAUCGGGAGGAACACCAGUGGCGAAGGCGGCUACCUGGACCAGCACUGACACUGAGGCACGAAAGCGUGGGGAGCAAACAGG
rnacentral:rRNA from 1 species